rnacentral:rRNA from 1 species
CCUACGGGAGGCAGCAGUGAGGAAUAUUGGUCAAUGGACGAGAGUCUGAACCAGCCAAGUAGCGUGAAGGAUGACUGCCCUAUGGGUUGUAAACUUCUUUUAUAUGGGAAUAAAAUGUUCCACGUGUGGGAUUUUGUAUGUACCAUAUGAAUAAGGAUCGGCUAACUCCGUGCCAGCAGCCGCGGUAAUACGGAGGAUCUGAGCGUUAUCCGGAUUUAUUGGGUUUAAAGGGAGCGUAGGUGGAUUGUUAAGUCAGUUGUGAAAGUUUGCGGCUCAACCGUAAAAUUGCAGUUGAAACUGGCAGUCUUGAGUACAGUAGAGGUGGGCGGAAUUCGUGGUGUAGCGGUGAAAUGCUUAGAUAUCACGAAGAACUCCGAUUGCGAAGGCAGCUCACUGGACUGCAACUGACGUUGAGGCCCGAAAGCGUGGGGAGCAAACAGGAUUAGAUACCCGGGUAGUC